UCCUCACACAUUUGGGUUCAGUCGUACGUUAAUUGUUCAGUCCAUCGCCAAUAUUUCGGUUGGUUCUUGUAGUGCGCGGAUCGAGCAUUUCUCUCUGUUAACUGGGCCCGAUUCAAUCUAGCAUUGAUUUUGCUAAUUUAGCUCGUUCCGAGCAAACAUGGCUCUGGAUGAACAGAAAUGUGCCCCGGAGGAUAGCUCCGAAGAUAACCAACAGCGGUCACUGAAACGUGAUGAUGCUCCCGAUUACUACAAGCGGCCUAAGUUCAAGCGGAACAUUAUUCCGUUUGAUACCCAAGAUCUAAGUGUGCGGGUUAUCCGCGAACGGUUUCUCAUUCCGGAUCAGGUCAAGGAGAACAGCCCGGCGGAAAAGGCAGGUCUCAAGCUCGGAGACCAACUGGUGAAGAUCAACGGAGCGGAUGCAUCGGCGAUGAGACUAGCGACGGCCGAAUCCGUUAUCAAGCAAGCCGGUGAGCAGCUGCAUCUUGUGGUGGCCAAGGACGACGAGGAUGCUUCGAAGAACCCAAACACACCGAAGGAAACCCGCGAGAUCAAGUUCGCAGGUAACCGAGAUGGUAGCAACGACGGUGUUACUAACAAUCCUUCAGCUCCUAAGCACAAACCAGAUGAAGGACGUGCUAACUGGGUUCAGCCGCCGGAACGCAAGGUAUGGCAUCCUAUCGUGUGGCAGCAGCCACCGCCUCCGAUUCCACCGGACGUUUACGGAAAGGAUGCACCCCAUCAGCAGCUCAUCGCCAAUAUUCGUCGACUGCUCACGGAUACAGCCGGCAAACCAGAGGAACGUAAAAAGCAUAUCGAAAACAUGAUGCUCUCGUUGCCGACUGGCUCGAAGAAACACGAAGAUGAUGAUGAUGAGGAGCCUCCAAAACCGGCUCCAAAACCGAAACGAAAGACCAAAAAGAACCGCAAGGUUGCCGUCCGAAAGCGCAUCGAAAGUUCAGAGUCGGAAGACUCAAUGUCGCAGGACUUAUCUGCGUCUUUACAAGACUAACACUUUCCUGAAAAUCUACACAUUCAGUGUAUAUGAAGCGUUAGCUAGUGUGUAUUUUCACUUGUUAUAUUUAGAUUUAAAAAACGACACUUACACAACAAACUACAUAAGGCAUAUUUUAUACACGAAAACACUUGAAGUUUUGAGACAAAUGAAAACAACGAGCGAACACGGAUUUUGAUGGGCAAAUGGAGGAGCUCUUCGAAAAUGUAUAGUUAUCUACAAUAUUUUCAAACGUAUAUUAAUCGCCAAUAUGAAAUUAUCGUGAACUUUACUUGUUUGUGAAAAGAGGUAACUUUUCCCGUUCGUUGACACGUAGCCCGAAGCACUCACCAGAACCCACUCGAUCGCCAUCCUGCGAGUCCUGCGAAUAUGGCAAUGCAAUCAUUGUCGAGGAACAACUACGCCAGAUGCAAAAACAA